rnacentral:rRNA from 1 species
GAGUUUGAUCAUGGCUCAGAUUGAACGCUGGCGGCAUGCCUUACACAUGCAAGUCGAACGGCAGCACGGGAGCAAUCCUGGUGGCGAGUGGCGAACGGGUGAGUAAUAUAUCGGAACGUGCCCAGUCGUGGGGGAUAACGUAGCGAAAGCUACGCUAAUACCGCAUACGAUCUACGGAUGAAAGCGGGGGACUCGCAAGAGCCUCGCGCGAUUGGAGCGGCCGAUCUCAGAUUAGGUUGUUGGUGAGGUAAAAGCUCACCAAGCCUGCGAUCUGUAGCUGGUCUGAGAGGACGACCAGCCA